rnacentral:lncRNA from 1 species
UUUCACUGAGCUAGCUGAACCUAAGUGAAGAGAGGUGAAGAGAGCUGAAGAACCAAAGAAACGAUUCUCUUCUCCGAUACAGAUUUGUGAGAAAAAGAUGUUGAAUAGUUGAUGUCGCCAAAGAUGAGCUGAAGAGUUGAAGUCAUCGAAGAGUUGAAGUCGCUGAAGAGUAAGUACGAUUCUCUUUUCCAAUACCUGUUUCGUCAAGCUUAAGUACUAAAUCAGUCUUCUUGAUAUCUAAAGUGGUUGAUUUUGUUUUAAGUUUAGAAGAGGAAUAAGAAGGAAUUGAUUAUUUGGGGUUGUUGGCAAGAUGAACUGAAGCUAAUUAGUCUCUCCGUCAUGCUUUUCUCUCAAAUUUCUCACUGAAGAACACGAUUUCAGACAUAUUUUGUUGUAAUAGGGUUUAUU